AUUGAACGCUGGCGGCAUGCUUUACACAUGCAAGUCGAACGGUAACAGGUCUUCGGAUGCUGACGAGUGGCGAACGGGUGAGUAAUACAUCGGAACGUGCCUAGUAGUGGGGGAUAACUACUCGAAAGAGUAGCUAAUACCGCAUGAGAUCUACGGAUGAAAGCAGGGGACCUUCGGGCCUUGUGCUACUAGAGCGGCUGAUGGCAGAUUAGGUAGUUGGUGGGGUAAAGGCUUACCAAGCCUGCGAUCUGUAGCUGGUCUGAGAGGACGACCAGCCACACUGGGACUGAGACACGGCCCAGACUCCUACGGGAGGCAGCAGUGGGGAAUUUUGGACAAUGGGCGAAAGCCUGAUCCAGCAAUGCCGCGUGCAGGAUGAAGGCCCUCGGGUUGUAAACUGCUUUUGUACGGAACGAAAAGCCUGGGGCUAAUAUCCCCGGGUCAUGACGGUACCGUAAGAAUAAGCACCGGCUAACUACGUGCCAGCAGCCGCGGUAAUACGUAGGGUGCAAGCGUUAAUCGGAAUUACUGGGCGUAAAGCGUGCGCAGGCGGUUUUGUAAGACAGUGGUGAAAUCCCCGGGCUCAACCUGGGAACUGCCAUUGUGACUGCAAGGCUAGAGUGCGGCAGAGGGGGAUGGAAUUCCGCGUGUAGCAGUGAAAUGCGUAGAUAUGCGGAGGAACACCGAUGGCGAAGGCAAUCCCCUGGGCCUGCACUGACGCUCAUGCACGAAAGCGUGGGGAGCAAACAGGAUUAGAUACCCUGGUAGUCCACGCCCUAAACGAUGUCAACUGGUUGUUGGGUCUUAACUGACUCAGUAACGAAGCUAACGCGUGAAGUUGACCGCCUGGGGAGUACGGCCGCAAGGUCGAAACUCAAAGGAAUUGACGGGGACCCGCACAAGCGGUGGAUGAUGUGGUUUAAUUCGAUGCAACGCGAAAAACCUUACCCACCUUUGACAUGGCAGGAACUUACCAGAGAUGGUUUGGUGCUCGAAAGAGAACCUGCGCACAGGUGCUGCAUGGCUGUCGUCAGCUCGUGUCGUGAGAUGUUGGGUUAAGUCCCGCAACGAGCGCAACCCUUGCCAUUAGUUGCUACAUUCAGUUGAGCACUCUAAUGGGACUGCUGGUGACAAACCGGAGGAAGGUGGGGAUGACGUCAAGUCCUCAUGGCCCUUAUAGGUGGGGCUACACACGUCAUACAAUGGCUGGUACAAAGGGUUGCCAACCCGCGAGGGGGAGCUAAUCCCAUAAAGCCAGUCGUAGUCCGGAUCGCAGUCUGCAACUCGACUGCGUGAAGUCGGAAUCGCUAGUAAUCGUGGAUCAGAAUGUCACGGUGAAUACGUUCCCGGGUCU
rnacentral:rRNA from 1 species